UCCGUAGGGUGCGAGCGUUGUCCGGAAUUGUUGGGCGUAAAGAGCUUGUAGGCGGCCAGACAGGUCCGUUGUGAAAACUCGAGGCUCAACCUCGAGACGUCGACGGAAACCGUCUGGCUAGAGUCCGGAAGAGGAGUGUGGAAUUCCUGGUGUAGCGGUGAAAUGCGCAGAUAUCAGGAAGAACACCUAUGGCGAAGGCAGCACUCUGGGACGGUACUGACGCUGAGACGCGAAAGCGUGGGGAGCGAACAGG
rnacentral:rRNA from 1 species